rnacentral:rRNA from 1 species
UACGGAGGGUGCAAGCGUUAUCCGGAUUCACUGGGUUUAAAGGGUGCGUAGGUGGGUUGGUAAGUCAGUGGUGAAAUCCCCGAGCUUAACUUGGGAACUGCCAUUGAUACUAUCAGUCUUGAAUAUUGCGGAGGUCAGCGGAAUAUGUCAUGUAGCGGUGAAAUGCUUAGAUAUGACAUAGAACACCAAUUGCGAAGGCAGCUGGCUACGCAUAUAUUGACACUGAGGCACGAAAGCGUGGGGAUCAAACAGG